rnacentral:rRNA from 1 species
CCUACGGGAGGCAGCAGUAGGGAAUCUUCGGCAAUGGGGGCAACCCUGACCGAGCAACGCCGCGUGAGUGAAGAAGGUUUUCGGAUCGUAAAGCUCUGUUGUAAGUCGAGAACGAGUGUGAGAGUGGAAAGUUCACACUGUGACGGUAGCUUACCAGAAAGGGACGGCUAACUACGUGCCAGCAGCCGCGGUAAU